AGAAAUAGUUGGAUUGGGUUUUUUCCCCUGGAGUACCAUGAGUUUCUGGAUCCAUUCUGUCUUUUUUGUCUUUUAACCUAAGUGGAUAAUCUAAGCAUCAAUGUUUUGGUUUUUUUUCCAAAAGUAAUCCUCUAAAUCAUGCAUAUGUUAGGCAGCUGAUCCUUUAGACUCAUCGGAGCAAAUAAUUAGUUUAUUUUGAGUCCUUGGCAAUAAAAAUACCUUCCCUUUUCAGAUUUCUGACAGAAAAUUUGAACAUUACUUCAUAACUGCUGGAAGAUUUCAUCUCUUAAUCCUGUAGUUGCCUCCAGUCAUAUGAAUUAUGGAAAUUACAUCAGUGAACACUUCAUCUUCUCUGGCUUUUGGAAUUGACAGAUGGGAGUAGGAGUUGUGUCUAUAAAGGGGGUAGUGAAAAUGAAUAAAGUGAUGGUUGCCUGCUGCCCCAGGGAGUUCUGCUGAUUGCAAUCUGUUAAAAAUUGUAUGAGAGAUUCUGCUGGAAAUGGGCAUGAUCCUAGAAAGCUGAACACAAGAGAAACAGGACACAAGACAAAAGGAACUGGAGGCAAGUAAACAUAAUCAUUAUAUUUCUGUUUUCAUUUAAGAACUAGAGAAUAGUGUAACAAUUCUUACACUGGAGGAGUACAAAAUGCGUUCUGGGAAGGGAAUAGGGGUGUGGCUGGGGUCUAUUUUGUGAGGGUCUUUGGCUGAGAACCCAGAUGUCUGGGAGCUACAUGGCAUCAGUUGGCCUCCCUGAGAGCAUGUGGGGAUGUUUCUUCCUGAGAGUUAACCACAGGUCUCUUUCUUGACUGUAGCUUUCUCAAUACUUUAUGCUCUGACUUUACCCCUCCUCUAGCAAUUUCUUCCCUGUUAACUCCUGUUGUUUAAUCUCAAUGACAGCUGUAC
rnacentral:lncRNA from 1 species